rnacentral:rRNA from 1 species
AUUGAACGCUGGCGGCAUGCCUUACACAUGCAAGUCGAACGGCAGCACGGGUGCUUGCACCUGGUGGCGAGUGGCGAACGGGUGAGUAAUAUAUCGGAACGUACCUUAUUGUGGGGGAUAACGCAGCGAAAGCUGUGCUAAUACCGCAUAAUCCCUAAGGGGGAAAGCGGGGGACCGUAAGGCCUCGCGCAAUUAGAGCGGCCGAUACCUGAUUAGCUAGUUGGUGAGGUAAAGGCUCACCAAGGCAACGAUCAGUAGCUGGUCUGAGAGGGCGAGCAGCCACACGGGGACUGGGCCACGGCCCAGACUCCUACGGGAGGCAGCAGUGGGGAAUUUUGGAAAAUGGGGGCAACCCUGAUCCAGCAAUGCCGGGGGAGUGAAGAAGGCUUUCGGGUUGUAAAGCUCUUUUGUCAGGAAAGAAACAGCAGCUCUAACACAGUUUGCGAAUGACGGUACCUGAAGAAAAAGCACCGGCUAACUACGUGCCAGCCGCCGCGGUAA